GGUUCUUUUCGCUGAUUACGCUGAGGCACACUUGAAGCUUUCUGAGCUCGGGUUUGCUGAUGCUUAAGCUGUGACAUGUGUGUCGUGGGAGAGUUUGCAUUGCAUUUGAACUUUUGUCAUUUGUUUGCUUAAUGUACUCGUGGUUUUGUGUUCUUUUAGGCGGUGUUGUGAUUUUGACGCACAUCUGUUGCGCUUUUGCUGGUUAAAACAUUCUAAUAAACCAAUUUCUCUCAUAAA